GAUGAACGCUGGCGGCGUGCUUAACACAUGCAAGUCGAACGGUGAAGCAGGAGCUUGCUCCUGUGGAUCAGUGGCGAACGGGUGAGUAACACGUGAGCAAUCUGCCCUGGACUCUGGGAUAAGCGUUGGAAACGACGUCUAAUACCGGAUACGAGGCGUGGGGGCAUCCCCAACGCCUGGAAAGAACUUCGGUCCAGGAUGAGCUCGCGGCCUAUCAGGCAGUUGGUGAGGUAACGGCUCACCAAGCCUACGACGGGUAGCCGGCCUGAGAGGGUGACCGGCGACAGUGGGACUGGGACACGGCCCAGACUCCGACGGGAGGCAGCAGUGGGGAAUAUUGCGCAAUGGGCGCAAGCCUGAUGCAGCAACGCCGCGUGAGGGACGACGGCCUUCGGGUUGUAAACCUCUUUUAGCAGGGAAGAAGCGAAAGUGACGGUACCUGCAGAAAAAGCACCGGCUAACUACGUGCCAGCAGCCGCGGUAACAC
rnacentral:rRNA from 1 species